rnacentral:rRNA from 1 species
AUACGGAGGGUGCAAGCGUUAAUCGGAAUUGCUGGGCGUAAAGCGCGCGUAGGCGGUUUGGUAAGUCGGAUGUGAAAGCCCCGGGCUCAACCUGGGAAUUGCAUUCGAUACUGCCAGACUAGAGUAUGGUAGAGGGAAGUGGAAUUCCGGGUGUAGCGGUGAAAUGCGUAGAUAUCCGGAGGAACACCAGUGGCGAAGGCGACUUCCUGGACCAAUACUGACGCUGAGGUGCGAAAGCGUGGGGAGCAAACAGGAUUAGAAACCCUAGUAGUCC